rnacentral:rRNA from 1 species
AACCCCCUAACACUUAGCACUCAUCGUUUACGGCGUGGACUACCAGGGUAUCUAAUCCUGUUCGCUCCCCACGCUUUCGCUCCUCAGCGUCAGUUACAGACCAGAGAGUCGCCUUCGCCACUGGUGUUCCUCCACAUCUCUACGCAUUUCACCGCUACACGUGGAAUUCCACUCUCCUCUUCUGCACUCAAGUUUCCCAGUUUCCAAUGACCCUCCCCGGUUGAGCCGGGGGCUUUCACAUCAGACUUAAGAAACCGCCUGCGAGCCCUUUACGCCCAAUARUUCCGGACAACGCUUGCCACCUACGUAUUACCGCGGCUGCUGGCACGUAGUUAGCCGUGGCUUUCUGGUUAGGUACCGUCAAGGUGCAAGCAGUUACUCUUGCACUUGUUCUUCCCUAACAACAGAGCUUUACGAUCCGRAAACCUUCAUCACUCACGSGGCGUUGCUCCGUCAGACUUUCGUCCAUUGCGGAAGAUUCCCUACUGCUGCCUCCCGUAGAGUCUGGGCCGUGUCUCAGUCCCAGUGUGGCCGAUCACCCUCUCAGGUCGGCUACGGAUCGUCGCCUUGGUGAGCCGUUACCUCACCAACUAGCUAAUGCGCCGCGGGUCCAUCUGUAAGUGACAGCCGAAACCGUCUUU